AGCGGGAAGUAGUUUACUACUUUGCCGGCGAGCGGCGGACGGGUGAGUAAUGUCUGGGAAACUGCCUGAUGGAGGGGGAUAACUACUGGAAACGGUAGCUAAUACCGCAUAACGUCUUCGGACCAAAGUGGGGGACCUUAGGGCCUCACGCCAUCGGAUGUGCCCAGAUGGGAUUAGCUAGUAGGUGGGGUAAUGGCUCACCUAGGCGACGAUCCCUAGCUGGUCUGAGAGGAUGACCAGCCACACUGGAACUGAGACACGGUCCAGACUCCUACGGGAGGCAGCAGUGGGGAAUAUUGCACAAUGGGCGCAAGCCUGAUGCAGCCAUGCCGCGUGUGUGAAGAAGGCCUUCGGGUUGUAAAGCACUUUCAGCGAGGAGGAAGGCCAAUAACUUAAUACGUUGUUGGAUUGACGUUACUCGCAGAAGAAGCACCGGCUAACUCCGUGCCAGCAGCCGCGGUAAUACGGAGGGUGCAAGCGUUAAUCGGAAUUACUGGGCGUAAAGCGCACGCAGGCGGUUUGUUAAGUCAGAUGUGAAAUCCCCGCGCUUAACGUGGGAACUGCAUUUGAAACUGGCAAGCUAGAGUCUUGUAGAGGGGGGUAGAAUUCCAGGUGUAGCGGUGAAAUGCGUAGAGAUCUGGAGGAAUACCGGUGGCGAAGGCGGCCCCCUGGACAAAGACUGACGCUCAGGUGCGAAAGCGUGGGGAGCAAACA
rnacentral:rRNA from 1 species